rnacentral:rRNA from 1 species
AUUGAACGCUGGCGGAAUGCCUAACACAUGCAAGUCGAGCGGAGUAGCAAUACUCAGCGGCGGACGGGUGAGGAAUACAUAGGAACUUGCCUUUAGGUGGGGGAUAGCUUGGGGAAACUCAAGGUAAUACCGCAUGAUCUCGCAAGAGCAAAGGGGUGCAAGUCUCGCCUUUGGAGAGGCCUAUGUCUGAUUAGCUAGUUGGCGGUGUAAUAGACCACCAAGGCGACGAUCAGUAACUGGUCUGAGAGGACGAUCAGUCACACCGGAACUGAGACACGGUCCGGACUACUGCGGGAGGCAGCAGUGGGGAAUAUUGGAAAAUGGGCGAAAGCGUGAUCCAGCAAUUCCGCGGGUGUGAAGAAGGCCUUCGGUUUGUAAAGCACUUUAGUGAGGGAAGAAACAGCUUGGCCACACCAAGCCUUGACGGUACCUAAAGAAUAAGCACCGGCUAACUCUGUGCCAGCAGCCGCCGUAA